rnacentral:rRNA from 1 species
AACGAACGCUGGCGGCAUGCCUAACACAUGCAAGUCGAGCGAGACCUUCGGGUCUAGUGGCGCACGGGUGCGUAACGCGUGGGAACCUGCCCUUAGGUUCGGAAUAACUCCCCGAAAGGGGUGCUAAUACCGGAUAAUGUCUUCGGACCAAAGAUUUAUCGCCUUUGGAUGGGCCCGCGUUGGAUUAGCUAGUUGGUAGGGUAAAAGCCUACCAAGGCGACGAUCCAUAGCUGGUCUGAGAGGAUGAUCAGCCACACUGGGACUGAGACACGGCCCAGACUCCUACGGGAGGCAGCAGUGGGGAAUAUUGGACAAUGGGCGAAAGCCUGAUCCAGCAAUGCCGCGUGAGUGAUGAAGGCCUUAGGGUUGUAAAGCUCUUUUAACCGGGAUGAUAAUGACAGUACCGGGAGAAUAAGCCCCGGCUAACUCCGUG